UACGUAGGGUGCGAGCGUUAAUCGGAAUUACUGGGCGUAAAGCGUGCGCAGGCGGUUUUGUAAGCCAGAUGUGAAAUCCCCGGGCUUAACCUGGGAAUGGCAUUUGGGACUGCAAGGCUUGAGUGCGGCAGAGGAGACUGGAAUUCCUGGUGUAGCAGUGAAAUGCGUAGAUAUCAGGAGGAAUACCGAUGGCGAAGGCGGGAUCCUGGGCCAGUACUGACGCUGAGGAGCGAAAGCCAGGGGAGCAAACGGG
rnacentral:rRNA from 1 species